UACGUAGGGUGCAGGCGUUAAUCGGAAUUACUGGGCGUAAAGCGUGCGCAGGCGGUUUUGUAAGCCAGAUGUGAAAUCCCCGGGCUCAACCUGGGAACUGCAUUUGUGACUGCAUGGCUAGAGUACGGUAGAGGGGGAUGGAAUUCCGCGUGUAGCAGUGAAAUGCGUAGAUAUGCGGAGGAACACCGAUGGCGAAGGCAAUCCCCUGGACCUGUACUGACGCUCAUGCACGAAAGCGUGGGGAGCAAACAGG
rnacentral:rRNA from 1 species